GAGAUUACAGGUGGGCAACACCACACGGCUAAUUUUUGUAUUUUUAGUAGAGAGGCCUGUGGGUGUGAAUUUCUAUAUUUUAAAAAAUUGGCUGGGCAUGGUGGCUUAUGCCUGUAAUGCCACUAUGUUGCACAGGCUGGUCCCGAACUUCUGGGCUUACGUGAUCCUCCUGCCUUGGCCUCCCAAAGUGCUGGGAUUAUAGGCAUGAGCCACUGCACUCAGCCUAUUUAUUUAUUUUAGAGACAGAGUCUCAUUCUGUUGCCCUGGCUGG
rnacentral:lncRNA from 10 species